rnacentral:rRNA from 1 species
AACGAACGCUGGCGGCAUGCCUAACACAUGCAAGUCGAACGAGACCUUCGGGUCUAGUGGCGCACGGGUGCGUAACGCGUGGGAACCUGCCCUUAGGUUCGGAAUAACUCCCCGAAAGGGGUGCUAAUACCGGAUAAUGUCUUCGGACCAAAGAUUUAUCGCCUUUGGAUGGGCCCGCGUUGGAUUAGCUAGUUGGUAGGGUAAAAGCCUACCAAGGCGACGAUCCAUAGCUGGUCUGAUAGGAUGAUUAGCCACACUGGGACUGAGACACGGCCCAGACUCCUACGGGAGGCAGCAGAGGGGAAUAUUGGACAAUGGGCGAAAGCCUGAUCCAGCAAUGCCGCGUGAGUGAUGAAGGCCUUAGGGUUGUAAAGCUCUUUUACCCGGGAUGAUAAUGACAGUACCGGGAGAAUAAGCACCGGCUAACUCCGUG